GAGAAAUCUUUCAAAAAUGGCCAUAACAAGGAACAUUGAUAUUAGAAUAGCAGUAGCUACGAACCCAAAAGAAACAGCAUUGACAGAGUUAUCAAAAUGUCUCCAAUGCUCUUCUCUUUGUAAAUUCAAAGGAGACACAAUUGGUGGUGGCACUGUGCCUGUGCCCCAGCUACCACCUUCAUCCCCACCCAUUUGAGACUAUGCACUAUCUUAUUAUUUAACGAAGCUCUGUGUCUGCCGCCUUCUCUUUCUUCCUCUCUGUCAUUAAACACAACUGUCCUGCUCUUCAUGGCGUCCUCAUAGUAUUAUAAGGACUCUCUCUUCACUGUUACUUAAACUUAGUGGGUAUAACAUUAAAACAAGCUUAUUACACUGUAAAUAAGGAUUAACAAAGAAAGGAGUUGGAGGAAGGGGUUCUUCUAUCAAUCAAGGCUUUUAUGAUGGCCGCAGGAGUAGUGUUUCUAAGGCAAAGUUG
rnacentral:misc_RNA from 1 species